rnacentral:rRNA from 1 species
UUAACACAUGCAAGUCGAACGGAAAGGCCCUUCGGGGUGCUCGAGUGGCGAACGGGUGAGUAACACGUGGGUGAUCUGCCCUGCACUUUGGGAUAAGCCUGGGAAACUGGGUCUAAUACCGAAUAGGACUGCGCUCUUCAUGGGGUGUGGUGGAAAGCUUUUGCGGUGUGGGAUGGGCCCGCGGCCUAUCAGCUUGUUGGUGGGGUAAUGGCCUACCAAGGCGACGACGGGUAGCCGGCCUGAGAGGGUGACCGGCCACACUGGGACUGAGAUACGGCCCAGACUCCUACGGGAGGCAGCAGUGGGGAAUAUUGCACAAUGGGCGCAAGCCUGAUGCAGCGACGCCGCGUGAGGGAUGACGGCCUUCGGGUUGUAAACCUCUUUCAGUGCCGACGAAGCGCAAGUGACGGUAGGCAUAGAAGAAGGACCGGCCAACUACGUGCCAGCAGCCGCGGUAAUACGUAGGGUCCGAGCGUUGUCCGGAAUUACUGGGCGUAAAGAGCUCGUAGGUGGUUUGUCGCGUUGUUCGUGAAAACUCACAGCUCAACUGUGGGCGUGCGGGCGAUACGGGCAGACUGGAGUACUGCAGGGGAGACUGGAAUUCCUGGUGUAGCGGUGGAAUGCGCAGAUAUCAGGAGGAACACCGGUGGCGAAGGCGGGUCUCUGGGCAGUAACUGACGCUGAGGAGCGAAAGCGUGGGGAGCGAACAGGAUUAGAUACCCUGGUAGUCCACGCCGUAAACGGUGGGUACUAGGUG